AUAAAGAUUUGGAUCAAGAGGACUUCCUCACAAUUAUCAAGAAAGAAGAAGGAUCAUGUAGUAUCAGCAUUACUACAUUCAUAACCUGAGGGUGGAGAAGGUUCGACGGUGACUCAAGGCUCGAUGAAUGUCUUUAUGAUGAGCUCCAUUGAUCCUCUGUUUUCUUCAGUCAUUAGAGACCAUUACUGAAGAGGAGAAUAUUUAUAAGCAGAAACGACCACCGUCUGAGUCACUGUAGCCUUCAGGAUUCUUAAAUAUCACAGGUGUAUCUGAUACUCGAUGAAUUCAUUCUUGCUGGGGAGCUCCAAGAAACAAGCAAAAGGGCGAUCAUCGAAAGGAUGUCAGAACUCGAGAAGUUGGAGUAAUGAAUGCGUGCUAGUCCAUCUGUUUUUCUCUUUUUCUUUCUUGGCCUGUCUGGAGCUUAGCGAUGCUUUGAUGAGUCGAAGACAAUGUUGGUGUUAAGAUUGUGAAUGAUAUAGGAAUGAUUCUGCUGUUAUCAUUCAUCCAAAAUUUGUUUAUCCGCGAUUUUCGUUUGAACUAGUGAGGUUACUAUUUAUCGCAGACACU